GCAGCAGUGGGGAAUAUUGCACAAUGGGCGCAAGCCUGAUGCAGCCAUGCCGCGUGUGUGAAGAAGGCCUUCGGGUUGUAAAGCACUUUCAGCGGGGAGGAAGGCGGUGAGGUUAAUAACCUCAUCGAUUGACGUUACCCGCAGAAGAAGCACCGGCUAACUCCGUGCCAGCAGCCGCGGUAAUACGGAGGGUGCAAGCGUUAAUCGGAAUUACUGGGCGUAAAGCGCACGCAGGCGGUCUGUCAAGUC
rnacentral:rRNA from 1 species